UACGUAGGCAGCGAGCGUUGUUCGGAGUUACUGGGCGUAAAGGGUGCGUAGGCGGGCUAUUAAGUCAGUGGUGAAAGCCCCAGCUUAACUUGGGAACUGCCAUUGAUACUGAUGGUCUUGAGUACAUUUGAGGUGGGCGGAAUGUGUCAUGUAGCGGUGAAAUGCUUAGAAUAUGACACAGAACACCGAUUGCGAAGGCAGCUCACUAAACUGUAACUGACGCUGAGGCACGAAAGCGUGGGGAGCAAACAGG
rnacentral:rRNA from 1 species